rnacentral:lncRNA from 1 species
UUUUCAUCAAAACUUAUCAUUUCAGACAACCCUCCAAAAGCUUAGUGAAUCUCUGACGAACUCCUUUUGUCUUCUACUCUUUUACGACUUAUCUUGACGUCUCUCUUUCAUCACAUAUGAUGAAACUGAGCUACACAACACAGCUACACCUUCAAGAUAUCACAUUUUAUAUUCUUGUUUCAAUUCCCUUUCUUCCCAAGUCUGAACCGCCAAACUGACAACCCCUUCUUCCGACUUCCCUAACCCUUUAGGAUGACAAAGUUGGCCGCAUAUCGGCUCAAGCUUCGGCUUACACCUCUGGUAAGAGGUAAACGCUUCUUCUUACUUAUUUUUCCAAAUCUGAGGUAGAUCUAAAGAUGCAAACCGAUGAUCUUUAUUUUAUCAGUAGAACUCAACCUUUUACCUUUUAAAAUCGACUUAUACCUUCUUAUUCGCUGCAAUAUGAGAAUCAUCGAGACAUCUCAUCAGCCGCAUGUUGCAUGCAGGGCCGGCUCAUAAACAUUUUAGGCCCCUGGGCAAAAACAAAUUAUAUAGCCUUUUGGCAAUUUUUUUUUGAAAAUCAAGUAAAAACUAAAAUUUAAUGUAAUUAUUUAAGCUAUUAUAUUAUUUUGUAAGGAAAUUUUCAAGAUAAUUUAAUUUUUAAAAUAGAUAUAACUAAAUUUAGUUAAAAAUAUUUAUAUUUACUUUUUUGUUUAUUAAAAAUGCAAACAAAUUGUAAAAAAAAAAUUGGACCCCUGGGCCCCGGGGCGGUCGCACUCCCCGCCCUACCAUCUAAGCAGCCCCUGGUUGCAUGGAACCUGCGAACUUUGACAAACACCAAAUCCUUCUCCAGUGUCUUCCCAAGUACGGUCUUUGUUAGGAUAUCAGCUAGGUUUAGCGUAGUAUGAAUCUUUACCAUUAUCCUGCUUCCAUCGGCAAUUACAUUUCAAAUAAAAUUGAACCUAUGUGUUUAGUUCUUUUGUAAAAGCAUCUAUUCUUUACCAAAAAUAUAGCUGAUUGUGAUUCACAAUUAACUUUAACUGCCCAUGUAUCAUGACUUAGAUCUUCACACAUACCCUUAAUCCAUAAGAACUAGUCUUCGUACUGAGACUAUAACUCUUAAGGAAGAAAAUCGAUUCUAAUGAAAUCAUGGCUGGAAUUGAUAUCUUAUUUAAAUAGAAAGAUUUCAAAUAUCUGGAAUUUAUUUUUAUAUAUUAUAUGGAUGAUCCGAACCGCAAGGAAUACCUAUUUAGUAGCUUCAGUUAAGGUCAUCUACUCUGACUAGCUCUAUAGUAAAGAGAGAAAUUAUUGGUUCGAGCUCCGAUCUCCAGCUAGUAGUAUUACCUCAUACGUGAAAAUAUAGCCAGUAAUUAAUCUCAUUUUGUGGAGAUCAGUUGUAUAAUCUACAUCACAGAAUCCUUCCACCUCAUGACUUUGCUUCUUUCAAACAGUUCAAGGAAAAAUCUUCCUCAAAUGUACAUUAAAAUCCAUUUCACUUUCUCUUAGUGUUCUCUAUCUGAAUUUCCCAUAAACCUGCUCACAAUCACAGAAUCCCUCCAACUGCACAUGCAUACAUAAUUUCUCUCAUUAACUCUGGUUCCUCUUUGCUUCUUCUUAACUCAUACUUUUCAGGUUGAAUUGAUACCCUAAUUGGAGUAGAAAUUGGUUUGCAAUACGCAAUGUUCAAAGUUGAGAGCACAUGUUCUAAUUAUUUUCUUUGAGAAAACUUCAGUGAACCUUCUUCAGAAUUUCUUGUACUAUAUACACACCUAAGAUCCUUGUUGCAGCUCACAAAUAUUUCAUUUCAUACUUGUGAGAAUCAUUUGGCAACCAAUCUCGUCUUGAACCUUUGUUGGUCAACUCAUGAGAUGUCUAGUUUCUUUCUAUAAACCCACUUGCAUCCAAUUACCAUUUUCUUUCUUGUCUCUUCACAAUAUCUCAAGUAGCAUUUCUGUCAAGCGAAUUAAUUUACUCUUUACAGGCUGAACCCUGCCUAUAUAUCUUAAGAGCUUAGACAUGGAUUAAGUUUGAGUUUCGAUAAGUUUACAAAGCGCAAUAUAACAAUAAUUCAGAAUUGGCUAAAGACACUUUGCUCACAAAUAUUAUUUUCAAGCAAUCAAGUCAACUCCUUUGCAUUCAAUUCACCUAAUAUAUCAUGAAGUAGGUGAUCAUUAAGGUUCAAGCAAUAAGAACAAUC